UACGGAGGGGGCUAGCGUUGUUCGGAAUUACUGGGCGUAAAGCGCGCGUAGGCGGACCUGCAAGUCGGGGGUGAAAGCCCGAGGCUCAACCUCGGAACUGCCUUCGAUACUGCGGGUCUCGAGUCCGGGAGAGGUGAGUGGAAUUCCUAGUGUAGAGGUGAAAUUCGUAGAUAUUAGGAAGAACACCAGUGGCGAAGGCGGCUCACUGGCUCGGUACUGACGCUGAGGCACGAAAGCGUGGGGAGCAAACAGG
rnacentral:rRNA from 1 species